rnacentral:rRNA from 1 species
GAUGAACGCUGGCGGCGUGCCUAAUACAUGCAAGUCGAACGCUGGAGAUCUAGCUUGCUAGAUCGAAGGAGUGGCGAACGGGUGAGUAAUACAUAAGCAACCUACCCACGAAGACUGGGAUAAUCUCUGGAAACGGGGACUAAUACCGGAUAGGUAAUCGGAAGGCAUCUUCUGGUUAUUAAAGGUUAAAAACACUGGUGGAUGGGCUUAUGGCGCAUUAGUUAGUUGGUGAGGUAACGGCCCACCAAGACGAUGAUGCGUAGCCGGCCUGAGAGGGUGAACGGCCACAUUGGGACUGAGACACGGCCCAGACUCCUACGGGAGGCAGCAGUAGGGAAUUUUCGGCAAUGGGGGCAACCCUGACCGAGCAACGCCGCGUGAGUGAAGACGGCCUUCGGGUUGUAAAGCUCUGUUGUAAGGGAAGAACGGUAGAUAGAGAAUAUCUAAGUGACGGUACCUUACCAGAAAGGCACGGCUAACUACGUG